ACACAACUACCAGUGGAGGAACCUCAACCUGCACUAAACCAACAACUUCAACAACAAGAUGAUGUUCGAUUAUCGGUGCCGGAAACUCUAACACUGCCCACAGUUCGACCCUUUUACUCCCUUUAUACGGUGCAGUAUGGAGGAUUCCCUGGGAUGACUGAAGCAUCCAACACAACACAUCUCACACCAGAACCCUCUAAUUUAAGUUCUCCAUCCCAACUGUCU